GGUUAUGGUGCAAAUUCCACAGUCUAUCAGAUGUAAACAGUGACUUUUCUGCCUGGCUGUGAUUCAGAGUUGCUUAUUAUUUCGAUCCUGCAAUCUUUGCAGGCUCACGUACGGAAUGAGGAAAUCAAACGCUCCCAUAGAGAUGCAUUGGGAAAUUGCAUUUGAUACCUUUUGAAACGCAUGUGCAGUGGACCCUCAAUGCUAUGGAGAUCGUUAGCCAGAAGUGGUGUGAUUAUGGCUUCAUAAACAAUGUGUGUUUUUUUUUUAAAGAAUUGAGCAGUGAGACUGUAGAGCAACUAUCUACACACACACAAAAAAAAGUUUUCUUAAAGGGGCACUGUAGACACCCAGACCACGUCAGCUCAUUGAAGUGGUCUAGGUGCAAUGUCCCAUAGCCUCCUCCUGUAGAGGCUGUCUAACUCUGGUCCUUUAUCUGACGCUGGACGUCCUCACGCUCUGCAUGAGGACCUUCAGCGUCAGAUUUUUCCCCAUAGAAAAGCAGUGAUUAAUGCUUUUUUUAUGGGGAAAUCCUACUGCAAGCACAGCCAUUGCCGCGCAUUAGGUCUCUCCUGCUGGCUGACGUUGGCGGGGGAGGAGUGUGGGCUGAGCCUUACCCAGCGCCGAGGGAAAUUGGCACUAAAUUCAGGUAAGUACCGCAGGGGGGUGUGCGCGAGGGAGGGGAGCAUUGCAGUAGCCUAUAAAACAGCUUUGUUUUCCUGGCACUAUAGAAUCCCUUUAAGCCAAAGUUGUUUUGUUGUAAAUCCCCUAUCGAAAAUGUUUAAUUUCAUCCACGGAAGAGUCCAGAAUAGCUCUAAGAGCAGCUAAAUAAACAGCACUCCCUUACUGGGAAUCUGUGGAAUAUUCUGAGCAUAUUGAUGUCUCCAUUGUACAGCGCUACGGAACGUGUUGGCGCCUUAGAAAUCAUAAUAUUAAUAGGCAGUCUGUGAAAACUUAAUGUGUCCAUGUUACUGAUUGCACAGAUAGUAUUACACGGGUAGUCACACUCAUAAUGGGAGUACAACCAUUAUAGAGCCCAGACUGCUAACAUCAAUGGAUGAUGGGCGUGGUAGUCUCCAGACAGGCAGUGGGUGAUGGGCGUGGUAGUCUCCAGACAGGCAGUGGGUGAUGGGCGUGGUAGUUUCCAGACAGGCAGUGGAUGAUGGGCGUGGUAGUUUCCAGACAGGCAGUGGAUGAUGGGCGUGGUAGUCUCCAGACAGGCAGUGGGUGAUGGGCGUGGUAGUCUCCAGGCAGGCAGUGGAUGAUGGGCGUGGUAGUCUCCAGGCAGGCAGUGGAUGAUGGGCGUGAUAGUCUCCAUGGGCGUGGCACACACAGACUAGCUGGGAA